GAUGAACGCUAGCGGCAGGCCUAAUACAUGCAAGUCGGACGGGAUUCAGGAGCUUGCUUCUGAUGAGAGUGGCGCACGGGUGCGUAACACGUAUGUAACCUACCUUUAUCAGGGGGAUAGCCUCUCGAAAGAGAGAUUAAGCCCGCAUAAAAUCACAGCACAGCAUUGUGUAAUGAUCAAAUAUUUAUAGGAUAAAGAUGGGCAUGCGGAACAUUAGCUAGAUGGCGGGGUAACGGCCCACCAUGGCGACGAUGUUUAGGGGAGCUGAGAGGAUGGCCCCCCACACUGGUACUGAGACACGGACCAGACUCCUACGGGAGGCAGCAGUAAGGAAUAUUGGUCAAUGGGCGGAAGCCUGAACCAGCCAUGCCGCGUGCAGGAAGACGGCCCUACGGGUUGUAAACUGCUUUUAUACGGGAAUAAACCCAGAUACGUGUAUCUGGCUGACUGUACUGUAAGAAUAAGGAUCGGCUAACUCCGUG
rnacentral:rRNA from 1 species